rnacentral:rRNA from 1 species
AGUCGAGAAUAAUUCACAAUGGGGGCAACCCUGAUGGUGCAACGCCGCGUGGAGGAUGACGGUCUUCGGAUUGUAAACUCCUGUCAUCCGGGAGUAAGACCUGGUCGUUAAUAGCGAACAGGGUUGAUAGUACCGGAAGAGGAAGGGACGGCUAACUUCGUGCCAGCAGCCGCGGUAAUACGAAGGUCCCGAGCGUUGUUCGGAAUCACUGGGCGUAAAGGGAGCGUAGGCGGUGCGGUAAGUCAGAUGUGAAAUCCCGGGGCUCAACCCCGGAACUGCAUCCGAUACUGCCGUGCUAGAGGAUUGGAGAGGUAGCUGGAAUUCUUGGUGUAGCAGUGAAAUGCGUGGAUAUCAAGAGGAACACUCGUGGCGAAAGCGAGCUACUGGACAACUCCUGACGCUGAGGCUCGAAGGCCAGGGGAGCGAA